GAGGGCAUAGCUCAGUGGUACAGUGCAUGCUUAGCAUGCCUGAGGUACUGGGUUCAAUCCCAGUAACUCCA
rnacentral:tRNA from 1 species